rnacentral:rRNA from 1 species
GUAGGGAAUAUUGGGCAAUGGGUGCAAGCCUGACCCAGCCAUCCCGCGUGCCGGAUGAAGGCCCUCUGGGUCGUAAACGGCUUUUGACGGUGAAGAACCGAAAGGGUGCGCCCUUUUUUGACGGUAGCCGUUGAAUAAGCACCGGCUAACUCCGUGCCAGCAGCCGCGGUAAUAUGGAGGGUGCGAGCGUUGUCCGGAUGUAUUGGGUUUAAAGGGUGCGUAGGCUGGAGGGACAGUCAGCGGUGAAAAGCAGUUGCUCAACAAUUGUCUUGCCGCAGAUACUACAUUUCUUGGAUUGGGAGGAGGUUACCGGAACGGAUGGUGUAGCGGUGAAAUGCAUAGAUAUCAUCCAGAACGCCAAUUGCGAAGGCAGGUAACUGUACCUAUAUCGACGCUGAUGCACGAAAGCAUGGGUAGCGAACAGGAUUAGAUACCCUGGUAGUCC